UACGUAGGGGGCUAGCGUUGUCCGGAAUCAUUGGGCGUAAAGAGCGUGUAGGCGGCCCGGUAAGUCCGCUGUGAAAGUCGGGGGCUCAACCCUCGAAAGCCGGUGGAUACUGUCGGGCUAGAGUCCGGAAGAGGAGAGUGGAAUUCCCGGUGUAGCGGUGAAAUGCGCAGAUAUCGGGAAGAACACCCGUGGCGAAGGCGGCUGCCUGGCCCAAUACUGACACUCAGGUGCGACAGCGUGGGGAGCAAACAG
rnacentral:rRNA from 1 species